rnacentral:lncRNA from 1 species
UUUGACUGAAGUCUUCACCUCUCCCUAGAGUCUCGUAGAAAUGAAUUCUCUGAUACUGUUUUCCCAGCGACCCCCCACCAAAGACAAAACCCUUUGUCUUCUAAGUAUUCUAAGAGUUUCAGGGGAGGAAUAUUGAACGUGGAGGGAGAGGACAACCUAAGUGUUCUGGAUGACCCAGGCAGGGAGCGUCACUCUCCUGGCCCUGAGAUUCAUUUCAGGAAAGAAAAACUGCUUGGCAGUACAGCCCUGCUGGAGUCCACUUUCCUACAAAAAGAACGUUGCUGGCGUGGAAACUACCAUAACCAGG